CUCAUUUAAGCGUUGACAGGGAGUAGUAAGGGUAUCUUGCUGGGGAACCUUGCUUACCUGAGGCUUUCUGAAGGGAUCAAUCCCUCCUUCAGGGUGCUGCGUUUUUACUUCACCUGUUGUGCUGCUAAGAAAAUGCUGAACUCACACAAAAUAUGCUUCUGUAAUGUAAAACAUGGGAAAAGUGACAGAGCAGAACUUGGAGAUGCUUGAUGGAAUUUGUCUUCAUUUUUUGAACAUGUGUGAGUUGUCAGUGUCCCCGCUCCAUGUGGCAGAGGUGGAGGAACUCCAGGUUGUCAAGCAAGUGUUUGCCUUGCCCAGAGCAUGGUCAAGCCUUGGCAUUUGCCUCAGCCUUCUUUAUGGUGCUCAGCUGAGCAUGGUUAACUCUGGGGAACAGCUGUGGGCUUGCAGGUCUCAAAGCCCGUUCAUUUUCCUAGGCUCCUGUUAUGUUUUGGGAGUGUGGAGGUAAUGAAAGCCCCCUACUUUAUGGCUGUACCUCUGGUAGCCCACUCUCUGGGCACAUAUGGGCCACAGAGAAGCCUGCAAUUUAUUUUUGAGGGGUCACUGCUCAUAUCACAUGGCUCUCAAACUUGGUUUCUAUUCUUAAGCAUACUAAAAUUGCACAUCCAGUGCUGAGCUCGUUGGAUGCUCAGGCUGCCUGCACAGCAAGCCAUGCACUUCCAGCUCUGGGCAAACUCAGAGCCCAGCCAGUCGAUGCUGUCUCCACAAGGAAGGAAGAGAAGAAAGUCACAUCUAUGCUCUGUCAGCUUUCCUAACCACUUCAAGCCAUUAGCUCUGACAAUUUUUCAACAUCAUCCAUAUAAAAUGCAUUCUGGUAAUAUGCACUGGACUCAUUUAUUUAUACUGCUUACUAAGUUCACAGCCAAUAUAUUGGUACCAGAGAUAUGCUGUCCCUUCAUUGAGCACUCUGGGAAAUGUCUGAGGACAACAAGUACCUGAUUUCCCCUGUAAUUCUCCAGAGAUUUAUGUGCUACUGUAAUGAGAGUGAACAUGGAGCAGCAAGCAGAUGUCAGAGAUGUAUAGCUCAGCCUGUGGUUUUAGAAGAGGACGACCUUUGUAUUCUUAGGUUGUGCUUUGAGUAGGUGGAUGGGGAGAAAAUAACCCUGUGGAGCUGGAAAGCCAAACUGUGCCAUGUGAAAGGGAUUGUCAGAGCUCUGUGUUUGAGUUUGGAUCGUUCCUUAGGUCUG